UACGUAGGUGGCGAGCGUUGUCCGGAUUUACUGGGCGUAAAGGGGGCGUAGGCGGACUUUUAAGUGAGAUGUGAAAUACUCGGGCUCAACUUGAGUGCUGCAUUUCAAACUGGAAGUCUAGAGUGCAGGAGAGGAGAAUGGAAUUCCUAGUGUAGCGGUGAAAUGCGUAGAGAUUAGGAAGAACACCAGUGGCGAAGGCGAUUCUCUGGACUGUAACUGACGCUGAGGCACGAAAGCGUGGGGAGCAAAUAGG
rnacentral:rRNA from 1 species